rnacentral:rRNA from 1 species
CAAAUAAGGUUUUCUAAUAAAUUAUGUUUUUAUCAGAUAUGACAGAAUCUUUUUUAAAAUCUCUUCAAUAUGCUUUUAUUGCUUUUGAGAGGUUUUGUUACUUUGAGUAAAAUUAAGUGUUCAUAACAGACGGGUAGUCAUGAUUGAGUUCAUUGUGU